ensembl:misc_RNA Y_RNA Y RNA
GGCUGGUCUGAAGGUAGUGAGUUAUCUCACUUGAUUUUUCACAGUUACAAAUUGAACUCUUUGUUCUAUUACUUUCCCCUCUUCUCACUACUGCACUUGACUAGUCAAAA